GGGUACAAAACUUUGAAGUCUGUACUGUUGACAAAUUCAAAUAUCAGGCUAGGAGUUUUUGAGUGCUGAUCUCUAACAAUGUCAAGAAGCUUGACUAUAUUUGGGCCACCACAUAGAUUCUGAAGUAUUUUUAUUUCCCUCUUGAUCUUCUUUUUCUUAACAGGUUUAAGAAUCUUGAUUAUGCACCGCUCAUUGCUAUUCACAUUUAUGCCUUCAAAAACCUCA
rnacentral:misc_RNA from 1 species